UAUUAAAAAUUUCGUUCAUUUCUACUAUUAAAAUAUGGUGUAGCUGACAGAAUAACCAAAUAGUUAUAUGUGACGUGCGACAUGUACCUCAUUAUGAUGUACAAUGACCAGUUGUUAACAAUAAAAAUGGAUGGACUUUUUAGCA
rfam:Gossypium raimondii Chr02_contig_1476, whole genome shotgun sequence.